AGUAAUCUCCUUCAGAUUACAUCGUCUGCGCAAAAUAUAAUCCACCUGCGUGCUUCUACCUCUGUUCUUGUAGGUCACUAUAUGUUCCUCCCUCUUCUGGAAAUAAGUGUUCACUACAGCCAUCUCCAUCUUUUUUGCGAAGUCCACCACCAUCUGUCCCUCAAAGUUCCUUUCCUGGAUGCCGUACUUAAUCACUUCUUCAUCGCCCCUGUUUCCCUUACCAAUAUGUCCAUUACAAUCUGCACCAAUCACAACUCUCUCGCUGUCUGGGAUGCUCAGAACUACUUCAUCUAGUUCCUUCCAGAAUUUCUCUUUCAACUCUAGGUGACAUCCUACCUGUGGGGCAUAGCCGCUAACCACAUUACACAUAACACCCUCAAUUUCCGAUUUUAGUCUCAUCACUCGAUCUGAAACUCUUUUCACCUCCAAGACAUUCUUAGCCAGCUCUUCUUUUAAAAUAACCCCUACUCCAUUUCUCUUCCCAUCUACUCCGUGGCAGAAUAAUUUAAACCCUGCUCCUAAACUUCUAGCCUUACUACCUUUCCACCUGCUCUCUUGGAUGCACAGUAUAUCAACCUUUCUCCUAAUCAUCAUGUUAACCAACUCCUGAGCUUUUACUGUCAUAUUCCCAACAUUCAAAGUCCCUACACUCAGUUGUAGGCUCUGUGCAUUCCUCUUUUUCUUCUGACGACAGAUCCAGUUUCCUCCUCUUCUUUGUCUUUGACCCACAGUAGCUGAAUUUCCACUGACGCCCUGCAGGUUUUCAGCUAAUCAACCUCUAAGCACCCUCUAACCACCUUAACAAUCAAUAAACUGUGAAAAGAGGAAGAUUUGAGUUGUUCAUGUGUUUGAAGACCAAGGCCCUUUUCAAGUUGGGGCAAAGAACAGAGGGAGUUGAAGAGAACUUCACAGUUGAAAACCAGCGUGUCAGCAAAGACAAAUGAUUAACGGCCUCAAGUCAAUGCAGUCAACGCAAAGAACAACUUCAAGUAUGGUGGAAGAAGCCACCAGUAAAGCAAUCAAGCUGCUGAAGCAAGAGAGGACCUCAGCAAAGAGUGGUUUCACCAAGCAGGCUAACUACCUAUGCAGAGCUGUUGGACACCUGGCAAAGUCAGAGUUGCAGAAGGAAUUCAGAAAUCUCUCUUCACUUGGGCGGGAUGUAAAUGACACCAAUGACAGCUAUGAACUUGACCUUUUAGCUGAAGUGGGAGGUGAUGAGGAAGAUGAAAAAUGACAUUGGAUAAGCAGCAACAGGUGGACCUGGCAAAGACCAUCGCGGACUGCAACACCAGGCUGGUCGAAGUGAAGCGGACAGUGCCGUUCAACCUCUGGUCCAGGUAUGGGGAAGGGGUCCAUGCAAUUCCUGUGUCUGUGGUGAACAAAGAUGCCUAUGAACAUCAAGUGGAUGGUGCAAAGAAACUCAUCAAUGAUGUGAUGGAAAGCUUCACGGAAUGCGAAGAAGGGAUCCUGGGAGCAGAAAAAAACCUUCUGGAUGGCAGAGUGAAAGGCUGCAGAAAACUGAAGAACAGCCUUGAGGCCAAAAAAGGCAGAAUUCCGAGUGGUUCAAAGAAGGGGGAAAUGAGAGGAAGCGCUCUUCAGGUACAGCCUGCAGCCCAGCAGCCUGUUCUUAAAAUUAAACCCACCAGCCUACCCAGAUUCUACGGCUCCAAAAGAGACUUCCAUCAAUAGAAAAGGGACUUUGAGAGUCUUCAGAGACAAGGUGACCCAACUGGUUCAGCAAAAGCCAAAAAGAUCCAGCUCCUCGACAGUGUUGAUUAGAAGAUCCGCAUAAACCUAAGAUUGUCCACCUAAAAGACCAUGGAGGACAUGUUCUAGGUACUGGAAAACAGAUUUGAAAAUAAAACAACCAUAGCCCUGGAGAUUAUUGAGGACCUGGAGAAAACCCCCCCUCUGAAGUCAUACCAGUGCAAAUGAUUGAAAUGAACCAAUCGGUUGAAAAGGCCCUUAAUGACCUCACAGAGCUCGGCAAUACUGGAGCCAUCAAGAAUCCGUUUGUAAUCAAAUCAAUAGAGAGCAAACUACCAGAUACAAUGAAGAGGGAAAAAGUCAGCUGACUCCAAGAAAUACGCCUCAACCAGGUCAACAAGUGAAGGGGGAUGCGUUGUCUGUGGUGAUGAGUGCCACAAAGAAAAACUUUUCUUCUGCAAAAAGUUUAAAGGACUGAAGCCAAAAGACAAGUUGAGUGCUUUGGAAAGACUGGGAGCCUGCACAAAGUGCCUAGAGUGUCAUGAAGAAGAGAGUGAAUGCAAAGACACUUACCUGUGUAGGAAGCAGAACUGCAGAAGAGACCAUCACUUCUUCCUGUGCCGGAAAGGAGACCCUAAAAAUGCUAAGAAAAAUGCCCAGUCCUCGUCAUCCUCCCAAUACCGCUCCAUCUUCCCGUUUUCCUCGUGUUCGGCAAGCGGCAGAAUGUCUUUUUAUGUUUUUUAUAAAGGCACCUGUUGUGCCUAUUUUACAAAGUCUAUUCUGUGCAGUUCAGGUGUCUUAAUAAAGAGUCCAAGAACGUUUUGUGUCUUCAUGAACAACCAUAGUUUUAUAUAUACACACUUGAAUCCAAAAUAUACUAUAAAAUCAAAUAGGAUGCUUUUCUUGCCAAUUUUAUGCAUGUUUUCUAUAGAACUCUCCACCACACAACAUUACAGGCCUUUGGAACCAACAGAAAAGCUUUAGUUUUGGAAACAUUCAUGUUUGUAAACUUUUUUACAGCCAAAAACAGCGUUUCGGAGCAUGAUGGCACAUUUUCCUCAACUUGGCUAUAAAAUCAAAUAGGAUGCUUUUCUUUCCAAUUUAUUCACGUUUUCUAUAGAACUCUCCACCACACAACAUUACAGGCCUUUGGAACCAACAGAAAAGCUUUAGUUUUGUAAAUAUUCACGUUUGUAACUUUUUACAGCCAAAAACAGCGUUUCAGAGCAUGAUGGCACAGCUUCCUCAACUUGGCUAUAAAAUCAAAUAGGAUGCUUUUCUUUCCAAUUUAUUUAUGUUUUCUAUAGAACUCUCCACCACACAACAUUACAGGCCUUUGGAACCAACAGAAAAGCUUUAGUUUUGGAAAUAUUCACGUUUGUAACUUUUUUACAGCCAAAAACAGCGUUUCAGAGGAUGAUGGCACAUUUACCUCAACUUGGCUAUAAAAUCAAAUAGGAUACUUUUCUUGCCAAUUUUAUGCAUAUUUUCAAAAGAACUCUCCACCACAUAACAUUACAAGUCUUUGGAACCAACCGGAGAGCUUUAGUUUUGGAAAUAUUCAUGUUUUUACGGCCAAAACCAGCCUUUCAGAGCAAGAUGCGCAAAUUUUCUUUAACAUGGCAAUAAAAUGACAUUGGAUUCUUUUCUAUCUAAUUUUCUACAUGUUUUCUGUAGAACUCUCCACCACACAACAUUACAAGCCUUUGGAACCAACCAGAAAGCUUUAGUUUUUGAAAUAUUCAUGUUUGUAACUUUUUUACAUUCAAAAACAGCCUUUCAGAGCAAGAUGCGCACAUUUUCCUCAAGUUGGCUAUAAAAUCCAAUAGGAUGAUUUACUUUCCAAUUUUAUGCAUGCUUUUAACAGAACUCUUUUUGGAACCAAACGGAAAGCUUUAUUUGGAAAUAUUCAUGUUUUUAACUUUUGUACAGGCAAAACAGCCUUUCAGAGCAAGAUGCGGACACGUUCCUCAAUUUGGCUAUAAAAUCAAAAAGGUUGAUUUUCUUGCCAAUUUUAUGCAUGUUUUCUAUAGAACUCUCCACCACACAACAUUACAAGCCUUUGGAACCAAUCAGAAAGCUUUAGUUUUUGAAAUAUUCAUGUUUGUAACUUUUUUACAGCCAAAAACAGCCUUUCAGAGGAAGAUGAGCACAUUUUCCGCAACAUCGGUAUAAUAUCAAAUUGGAUGUUUCUCUUGCCCAUUUUGUGCAUGUUUUCUGUAGAACGCUCCACCACACAACAGUGUGAAGUUACUUAAGAAUGUUCUAUACAUAGUUUGUGUAUUUCUCAGAAACAUUCUUCAUUAUUCACUGUCUACAUAUCUCUUUCUUUGUCUGUCUAAUGCCCUCCCACCUAUGACACAUUCUUCUACCUAAUAAAAGUUGGCUGCGCUGGGGGGUAGGAGAGAGAGAGGAAGCACCAAUGGAGCCGAGAACACACAUCCAGUGUGUUCCUCGCUCCCCUCU